rnacentral:rRNA from 1 species
GACGAACGCUGGCGGCGUGCUUAACACAUGCAAGUCGAACGGAAAGGCCCGGCUCUUGUGUGGUGCUCGAGUGGCGAACGGGUGAGUAACACGCGAGUAACCCGCCCUUGUCUUUGUGAUAACUUCAGGAAACUAGGGCUAUUACCGGAUAGGAUCUUCUGCUGCAUGGUGGGGGUUGGAAAGUGUCGGCGGUUGGGGAUGGACUCGAGGCUUAUGGGCUUGCUGGUGUGGUAGUUACGUUCCAAGGCUUUGACGGGUAGCCGGCCUGAGAGGGUUGCCGGCGACAUUGCGACUGAGGUACGGCGCAGACUCGUACGGGACGCAGCAGUGGGGAGUAUUGCAGAGUGGGCGGAAGCCUGAUGCAGCGGCGCUGCGUGCGGGAUGACGGCCUUCGGGUUGUAAACCGAUUUCGCCGGUGACGAAGAGUGAGUGACGGUAAUGGGUAAAGAAGCCACGGCUAACUACGUG